AUGAUCGUCAUCACUAGGACUACUACGUCAUUAUAUCUGCUUCCUUCCUUCCUUCCUCACGCUACUCGAUUCUACUAAUCCCGAUACGCUUUACGACGGCGUUUCGGAUGGCUUCGGUGUGCAUGCACAGCCCCUUCUGCUCAAUCCCCGUCAUGUAGUUCCUCACCUCCUUCCUGAUCAUCUCCUGCAUCAUAUCCAGGAACUCCGAGCUGAAAAACUGCUGAUCGUGCCCCGUCUCGCUGUUCUGGUUGCUCUGACGCGGCGCUGGCGGCAACCCAACCGCCCGCGGUGGAGCUGUUACCUCUGGCGCUUGCUGUACAAUCUGGGCGGGCCCGACAAUCGA
rnacentral:lncRNA from 1 species